rnacentral:rRNA from 1 species
AACGAACGCUGGCGGCAGGCCUAACACAUGCAAGUCGAGCGAAGCCUUCGGGCUUAGCGGCGGACGGGUGAGUAACGCGUGGGAACGUGCCCUUUGGUACGGAUUAGCCCCGGGAAACUGGGAGUAAUACCGUUUGUGGUCGAGAGAAGAAAGGUUUAUCGCCAAAGGAUUGGCCCGCGUUGGAUUAGGUAGUUGGUGGGGUAAGGGCCUACCAAGCCGACGAUCCAUAGCUGGGUUGAGAGGAUGAUCAGCCACACUGGGAAUGAGACACGGCCCAGACUCCUACGGGAGGCAGCAGUGGGGAAUCUUAGACAAUGGAGGAAACCCUGAUCUAGCCAUGCCGCGUGAUCGAUGAAGGCCUUAGGGUUGUAAAGAUCUUUCAGUGGGGAAGAUAAUGACUGUACCCACAGAAGAAGCCCCGGCUAACUCCGUGCCAGCAGCCGCAGUAAUAC